rnacentral:rRNA from 1 species
UACGGAGGGGGCAAGCGUUGUUCGGAAUUACUGGGCGUAAAGCGCGCGUAGGCGGCGAUGCAAGUCAGAGGUGAAAUGCCCGGGCUCAACCUGGGAGGUGCCUUUGAUACUGUGUUGCUUGGAUCCAGGAGAGGUGAGCGAAUUCCGAGUGUAGAGGUGAAUUCGUAGAUAUUCGGAAGAACACCAGUGGCGAAGGCGGCACUCUGGACCAAUACUGACACUGAGGUGCGAAAGCGUGGGGAGCAAACAGGAUUAGAUACCCGCGUAGUCC